GCCCACAUAGCUCAGUUAGAAGAGCGCAUUCUUGGUAAGAAUGAGGCCUGCAGUGCAAAUCUGCAUGUGGGCUCCG
rnacentral:tRNA from 1 species